AAGAAACACAAAUGUGGUAGAAAGGAACUUUCUGAAAGGUCUCAUGGUGAAUUAAAGAUGGAUGCAAAGUUGCUGGCAUUCCUUCCAUCAAGAGGAAUCUAUAUCUACACGAUCUUUGACCAGUAGAAUACAAUGGCAGUGAUGGGUACCAAUUUUCUGAAUCUUGAGACACCUCUCUGGGAACUCUGGGAUGCUGUGGAUGAACUCCAACUACCCUGAAGCCAUGUCUUCUGGACAGGGAGAGUACAACGAGUCAGGAGGGCAAUGCUUCAUUCCCACAUCACAGGAGACAGGAUGAACAGUCAGGCAGAGAGAGAGAGAGCAUGGCAGCUAGAAGCAUAUAAAUGUGACUGUUGAACAACAUGGAUUUGAACUUCAAGGUUCCACUUAUACACAGAUUUUCUUCCAUUUAUGCCACCCCUGAGACAGCAAGAUCAACCCCCUCUUCCUCCUCCUCAGCCUACUCAACAGGAAGUUGGCUAGGAUGAAGACCUUUAUGUUAAUCCACUUCCACUUAAAGACUAGUAAAUGUUUUUCUCCUUCUUAUAAAUUUUCUUAAUAAUGCUUUCUUUUCUCUAGCUUACUUUCAAAGAAUAAAGUAUAUGAUACAUAUAAUAUACAAAAUAUGUGUUAAUUUACUGUUAAUAUUUGUUAUCUGUAAGGCUUCUGGUCAACAGUAGACUAUUAGCUUUAAGUUUUGG
rnacentral:lncRNA from 10 species